CAUGAUAUGUGUUUUCAAGCAUACUCCUAAUGGAAGUCAGUUUGAAUCCUUCACUUCAAACUAGUUUGACAUUGCAAGAAUCACAAGAAAGAAUGAGACCACUAAGACCGUCAAGCUGAAGGCGAGAGCAACAAAAUCAGAGGCCAGCUAGGGAUUGGACAGCAAAAGAGACUUGGCAAGGUAGGAAAAUCAGCUUCAUGUGAUAUGUGUCAAUCCUGGCAGUAAGAUCCAUAUACA
rnacentral:lncRNA from 1 species